rnacentral:sRNA from 1 species
GUGCUCACUUUGGCAGCAGAUAUACUAAAAUUGGAAGGAUACAGAGAAGAUUAGCAUGGCCCCU